rnacentral:lncRNA from 1 species
GCCAGCUUCUUAAACUUCUUGAAAUGUUCCAGUGUUUCAAAACUGGAGCAAGUUAGUAAGGGCUUGUCUAUUGGAGGUACGCUGGAAUAGCUAUUCCACCUUAAAUUCACAGCCUCCUUUAAUCUGGAAUAACUCUGAAGUGUAAACAAGCCCUAAGGCAUGAAGAAAUGUUGGGGCUGAUUUUUAAAGAUGCUGAGCUACAUGUAGAUGCCAUUGGUUGCAACUUGAAAUGUGACUCCUCGGUACCUCUGACAAUCAACCCCCCUUAUUGUAUUGGAAGAAGGGAGGCCACUGUCAUCUGAUCAUAUUCAGGUACAUCUCUUCUCUCAGCUGAAUAUGUGCUUGCUAGCGGCUCCUGCUGCAGUCACUGGGAGCUGAGUGGCCCAUUUUGCCAACAGAAGGGCUUCAGAUGGGAUACAGCAAAGCUGAUCUAUGCCUGCUACUGCAACAGGUCUACACGUGAUUUUUCAGCAAGCUAAAUUGCUAAAUUUAAGGAAAAGAAUCCCAGGAGAGUCGGAAGCAUACACAAGACCUAAUAAUCGCUAUAAUGAGUGUCUUCUUGAUAAUCUCCCUCCUACUCAUUCCGGGCUGCAGUUUCCUUUCUUACAAACUGAUGACAAAGGACAACACGACUUUGAAGAAAGAAGUGAAAUCUAUCACCAUCCAGUCUCACUUGCAUCAUGUUGAAACGAGGAUUGUCCUAUCUCCUUCCCAGCCUAUGCAAUUAGCUGCCCCCCAACAGAGGAGCUCCCAAGGAACCUCCCUCAUACAAACAUCACCGAUUUAUAAACAGCCUGGCGAUGUGCCACCGCUACGACCAGCCUCCAAUGUAUCUGCUGUCAGUUUUGCAUACACUGACCCUAGCACUGUUUUCUCAGCACCCAUACAAACAUCACCGAUUUAUAAACAGCCUGGCGAUGUGCCACCGCUACGACCAGCCUCCAAUGUAUCUGCUGUCAGUUUUGCAUACACUGACCCUAGCACUGUUUUCUCAGCACCCAGGAACCGUACUCCGGAAAGUUUUCUUUCUAACCUCUCAAAGUCAGGAAGCCUUUUUUCUAUGGAACAACAUGAUCUCUUUUAUGGGUCUUCCAGGAGUUCUUCCAGAGGGUCCAUGGACAACCCUGGAUACAAAUAUGAAGAUGGAGAAGGAAGCGGUGAUUCUGGGAGCAGCAUUUGUCCCAUUCAUGUGACAGACGAUCUACCUUUCACCAGACAUUAAUUAUAUUUAGGGUGACCAGAUCACUGACAGGAAAUAUCGAGACCGGGGGGGAGCAAAAAAAAACAAAAAACAAACAAACAAAAAAAGUAAAAAAAAAAAAAAAAAAAAAAAGCCGUUUUGCAGGUGCCGGGGGAAUUAGCAGGCCGCGGCCCCGCCCCCCCUGAGGGCCCCGGGCACAUGCGACACGU